AUGGUUGAUUAUCAAAUACUUUCAUUUGCAUAGAAAAGCAACUAUAUGACAUCCCAUAAACAAGAUGACUUCUAUUGUCAAGUUUGGAACCAACUCUGAAAGACCUGCAAAUGGCAGAGGCUAAUAUAAUUAGUCUGCCAGACRGCAUAAAUGAGGACAGACUGAAGGAAUUAAUCAACCAAAAAAAUAUUUUGCUGUCAAGUCUGGAAAAAAAUUCACAAGAUUUGCAACAAGCACAGGCUAUUGUAGUAGACCAAGACGACAAAUACAGAUUUUAUGAGAAAAAAAUACAGGACCUAACAGAAAAAAGAAAGCUUUUGCUUACCAGCCUGGAAUCGAAUUGGAGAGAUUUGCAACAGACUCAGGCUCUGGAUGCCAGCCAACUUCAUGGCAUGAAUGUAGGAAACAUAGUAAAGAAACUCAUCAAGGAAAGAGAGACUUUGGUUACUGAAAUAGAAGAAAAUCUAAAGAACCUUCAGGAAGUUGAGAAUGUGGUAACAAGCCAUUUAAUCACAGACAGAUUCAUUGAUAAUUGCUUUGGCAGCAAUUCUGAUUUUUUUGAAAGAAAAUCAGAGGUGACUGGAAAACAGCCUCUAAAUAGUAGAACUUUGCAGCUAGAAUGUAUUCUUUCAGCACUUCUACUUGAUCAAGACAGAAGCUUUGCACCUGCAGAGCCAACUUACGACAGCGAAACCACAUCACCUAUUCAUCAAUUGAUGCCAAGCAGAGUUGUAUCCAGUAUACAUUUUGACUUUUCUACACUUCCAGCCUUAGUACCAGAAGGGAGAGUUCAGAAGGCAUCAGAAAUUGAACUUCCUCAGAAGAGAAAGCUGGAAAAAAAAAUCAGACAUUUCUGA
rnacentral:lncRNA from 1 species